GAGGCAGCUGCUGUCUGCACUUUUUCUCAGAGUUGUAAAAGCAAGCAGAGAUGAAAUGGGCUACUCUUUAGUUGACUGAUGUAGCUAGCAAGGUAACUGCUGUUUGACAGAUAAAUAAAUAUUUACUCCCAGUGCUGAUGUACUACUAAUGUAACCGACUAAAGUUAGCUAGCUAGCUAGCUCGCUCACUGACUUUAGCUAUUAUUUUUGACUCAAUUACACUAGACCUGAAUCAAACGAUGAAACCAGCAGCCAAAUGAUUGAAGACCGAUAUUCUGACGUUUUUCUGCGUUUUUCUUAGUCAGUAUAGCAAUGUAACGUUAUCAAUCUGUCAGUUUCCUCACAGCUAACUCCCUACUUUUCACACAGACAUGGUAUAAACAGCUCUACAGGCAUCACUUUCAUAGUGCACAGUCAGUACGCAACACUAUGCUCAUUAUGUCUUAGCAGGGUCAGACAGCCAGGGAAGACCACUCUACAGAGCUCAGGUACAUUUUGCAGUACAUUAUAACAAUCAGUGAAUGGAUACAAAGUUCCAUCUGGAGUUGAUGGGUAGGCUACAGUCUGGGAUAAACGGUUAUUUAGAUUGUUGAACCAUUGAUUAUAUUCAUGGAUAAUAUAACGUAUAAAUGUACACCAAUGUAAUUCUUUGUCAUGUCUUAUCUGAGCAGGAUCAGAUGGUGACAGGGGUCUCAUCAGGGUCAGGCAGCCAGGGAAGACCAGUCUGGUUAUGGAGCUGAGGGGAAUUUUUGCAGAUACAACACUAUUUUCUCUGUGCAGCAAACACUGGAAAAGCAAGAAGCUUCAAACUAUUUUAAGGCAGUCUGACAAACCUCUAAAGUUGAUUUCCAAACUGUAUCAAGGGUUGAUAGAGGCUUUUCCUGAUGACACACAACAAGUAAAACAAAAAUGUGAGGAAAACCUGGGAGACAACACUGAUGAUAAUGAAUGGAUACAGAUAUGUUUGAAUGCCCAGUCAUGUUUAUAUCAUCCCAGACAUAAAUGACUGCAGUUUAAGACCAUCCAUAGAACGUACUACAUGCCAGUGAAACUGAAUAUCAUGCACACAAAUGUAACUAUUCUGCUGGAGGUGUAAAACGCAAACACGGGACAUAUUUGCAGACAGUGCAUUUGGAAAGUAUUCAGGCACCUUGACUUUUUCCACAUUUUGUUACGUUUACAGCUUUAUUCUAAAAGAGAUUCAAUUGCUUUCCCCCUUAUCCAUCUACACGCAAUACUCCAUACUGACAAAGCAAAAAAACAGUUUAAAAAAAACAUUUUUGCAAAAGAUAUAAAGUUAGCCAUGGAAAACUGCAAAUGUGUUGCUACUGCUCUCAAUAAUAUUGCUGCUAUGAAUUUAUCAGGCGCUAUUGACAAAGGUCAGUGAGAAAAAGUUGUGAUGGACUACUUUCAGGAGGACGAUUUUUGUGGCAUUGCACAUGGUCAGUGUGAACCAGAGUGACUUGACAAACGGGCCAAGCAAGCUGUACAAACAAAACGGAAACUACACAGGACAUCUUAUUUAAUGAAAGGGAUUGCAGUCUGCUGUGAAGCGUUCAUUCAUGUACACGGCACCAUUUCUUCACCAACUACGGAAUUGGAGAAACACAUGUGGAUCUGAAUUGUGAUAACUGCAUUGGUGAAAAAAACAAACAAGUUUGUGGUCUCGAGAUUGCUGGUGUUGCGAAGGACAGCACUGCGACAGGGGUCAACAUCCCAUAGCUGUUUGGACUAGAGGAUUGUAUGGUACUAGUGGAAAGCUAUGGCUGGCAACAACACCUGACUUCGUACUUCAGGCCGCUGCCGCAGAUCAAGCAGUACCAACACUUCAGGAGAAUAUCAUUUUAAUUGCAUUGUAUAAGCUUUGAUGCUCUGGAGCCUGGUGUUGUUGUUGCCAAUGAGCGUUCGGACUCAGUCGGGACCAGGUUUCAGCUCCUGCGCAACGCCGACAUCAUUCCUCCAAUAGAUGGUCUGCCUGUACAAGCACCACUUGGACUGGAAACAGCAAGACAAACUUACAUUUCUGAGAAGAUUAGGGAGUUUUGCGAUGAAGAGACUAUGGACAUCACAUGCCCUGCACCAAAGUCAAGGGCAGGAAAGAAACAGGCUCUCCGAAUAUAGAUUCCCUUGUUCAUGCGUGGUUUGAACGGACCAGUUCAUCACUGGGGUGCGAGUUCCCAGUGGCAUUGACACUUUUUCUUAUAUUUUCUUUAUAUUGACUCCAUCUAUUUUUGAUAUUGCUACUAUGCAAGUAACCAUUUACUGUACUGUUUAUACCUUCUGCAGUGACCCAUCCACUGAGCUAGAUGUGGCUGGGGGUUAUAGCAUUUCUUUCACCAAUUUAGACAAGUGUGUCUGGGUAAGAAUCAUCUAAUAUUUAUACAAUAUUUGUUAUCUGGACACUUUCUGUUUACCUGGAAUUUUUUCUUAUUGUAGGCUACAACUUUUACCACUUUUAGUCUUAAUCUUUACUACACUACUUAGUGUUUAGCACAUUACCUCACAUGUGAAUCCUUAAAGAGAUGGGUGGGUCUGGCUUUAGAGGGCGUGAACAGUGCUGAAUAGGUGUAGACAAAGCUCUCUCCAGUAGGUGUACCAAAACAUUCAAUGGCCACUUUCUCAAAAGUGGGAUUACAAGUUCAUCAACUUUCAAAGCAGAAUUACUUUCCCAUUGUUCAUCAAAU